AACGAACGCUGGCGGCAGGCUUAACACAUGCAAGUCGAACGGGCGUAGCAAUACGUCAGUGGCAGACGGGUGAGUAACACGUGGGAACCUUCCUAGGGGUACGGAACAACUCAGGGAAACUUGAGCUAAUACCGUAUACGUCCGUAAGGAGAAAGAUUCAUCGCCCCUAGACGGGCCCGCGUCGGAUUAGGUAGUUGGUGGGGUAAAGGCCUACCAAGCCUACGAUCCGUAGCUGAUCUGAGAGGAUGAUCAGCCACACUGGGACUGAGACACGGCCCAGACUCCUACGGGAGGCAGCAGUGGGGAAUCUUGGACAAUGGGCGCAAGCCUGAUCCAGCCAUGCCGCGUGAGUGAAGAAGGCCUUAGGGUUGUAAAGCUCUUUUACCAGGGACGAUAAUGACGGUACCUGG
rnacentral:rRNA from 1 species